CCGCGUUUAUAAACAGAAUGAUGAGCUUGAGUUUGUCUAAAAAAAAAAAAACUUAUUUAUUUUAUUGAAUGCUUUCAUGUAAAUGUGAACUUUUUAUGAUAGAAGGCAGCCAGUUUUCUGGGUGAAGUUGUUUUCUGUAUCACCAUUUUCUUAACAUGUUAAAUGAAUCAACGAUAGCACUUCAUGAACCCCCCCCCAAAAUUUCAGGGUAGGUUUCUACUUUCCUUGUCACCCCAUAACUUUUCAUUUUAAAAAGAAAUUUAAGAAAUUAACAACAUUUAGAAUUGCUAUUACAAAAUAUCACUGUUAUAUCCCAAAGUAAAAAAGUCACAUUUACAAUAAAUUAUUGUAAGCAAACAUGUAUGAACGACCAGAGUACAAAAAACGCAAUUUUCAGAUCAAAUAUAUUUAAAUUAAUUUUAAUAAGUACAAAAAGAUAAUGUUUAGCAUUAAUUUGCAUGUGAUUGAUUAGUAUUUUUUUUUAAACAGCAAGCAUAAUGACACAUUCAAUAAAGGUCAAAUUAUCUUACAUAUGUAAAAAAUAGUGACUUUUCCCAAUUACAACAAGGUCACAAAUUACAAAUAUUAUUAGCUCUCAAAUGAUUUUCUCAAAUGAGAAAACCUACCAUACAAUUAUAUUGUCACCCAGAAAAUUUCAAAUUUCACCUAAUGUGAAUAUUCAAAGUUUAGUGUUGGAGCUGUAUCAUGCAUUCUCUAUGCAUGUAAUUUUAUUAUUAAUGUGUAGCAAGGGGAAAACAUUUCAUUGCUUUCUGGGUUGUUGUUUUUUUCCAAAUUUAGCAACAAAUAUGAAGCUUUCGUAAAUUUUCAUGCAUGUCAACUCUAAAGGGAAUAUUUCAUGGAAGGUCACAUUCCUCAUUUUAGAGCACAGCAAAACCUGAAUUUGUAUCUGCUCAGAAGAAGCUUGAAAAAAAUCGGAUACCAACAAACUCGAAAUCAAUUAUGGAGCAGGCACCUAAGAUCAAUAAGUAAUCGAGGACUUAUCCAUGGAUGGUAAAGUUUAAUUCAUAAAAAUUGUGGCUCGAAGUUCAGUUUCAUUCAAGCCAUUCUAAUUACACAUUAAACUUCUUCACACAUUAUGCAGAGUUUAAAACACAGCCAAAUAUUUAAACUACUAUGUUGAAUAUUUUUGAAAUAAAUAAAUGGGAACGAAUCUAUCA
rnacentral:lncRNA from 1 species